GGGAAUCUACCUUUUGCUACGGAAUAACUCAGGGAAACUUGUGCUAAUACCGUAUGUGCCCUUCGGGGGAAAGAUUUAUCGGCAAAGGAUGAGCCCGCGUUGGAUAAGCUAGUUGGUGGGGUAAAGGCCCACCAAGGCGACGAUCCAUAGCUGGUCUGAGAGGAUGAUCAGCCACACUGGGACUGAGACACGGCCCAGACUCCUACGGGAGGCAGCAGUGGGGAAUAUUGGACAAUGGGCGCAAGCCUGAUCCAGCCAUGCCGCGUGAGUGAUGAAGGCCCUAGGGUUGUAAAGCUCUUUCACCGGUGAAGAUAAUGACGGUAACCGGAGAAGAAGCCCCGGCUAACUUCGUGCCAGCAGCCGCGGUAAUACGAAGGGGGCUAGCGUUGUUCGGAUUUACUGGGCGUAAAGCGCACGUAGGCGGACUUUUAAGUCAGGGGUGAAAUCCCAGAGCUCAACUCUGGAACUGCCUUUGAUACUGGAAGUCUUGAGUAUGGUAGAGGUGAGUGGAAUUCCGAGU
rnacentral:rRNA from 1 species